GCAGCGCAGCCCAGGCAGGAGAGGAGUAUCCAGAGCUGCCGAGAGAGACCUGCCCGCCUUUUCCCUGCUAGUGAGGGGCGAUAGGAGCAGCGCUUUGAGCACGUCUUCACUGACUGUUACGUCUCUGCUCUCCUCCCCGGCCCUUAUGAGGCGGCGUCUGCGGGGCCGGAGGACUCUUCUCCGACCUUGAGAGCCAAUGGAGUCUAUUCAGGCUGCCGCUCCGGCUCUUGGAAAGAAGAAAAAUAAACCAGGAGAUGGCUUCUCAGCAAAUAAUUUAUUCUCAAGAGAAGAAGAAAGUGAAAUUGAGACUGAGCAAAUACCUGCUGUUGGUUAUGAGUGUGGUGAAGAAGAAGAGAGAGAAGAUUAUGAGAAAGAGAGUAAUGAACAGCGAGAUAUAUUAGUUGAAGAUGAUCUGAACAAUAAUAGGAUUGAGUAUAAAUCUGGAGUGCAAGAAUGGCCAGAUGGUUCUUGCUAUAAAGGCGAAUUUUCAUUUGAUUUAAAACUUGGAUAUGGAGAAUUUGCAUGGGACAAUGGUGAGAGAUAUAUAGGGCAAUUUUAUAAAGAUCACCGUCAUGGCAAAGGAGUUUACUUUUGGCCUAAUGGCUCCAGAUUUACAGGUUCAUUUUAUCUUAAUCGUAAAGAAGGCUAUGGAACCAUCGAAUUUACGGAUGGAAAACGAUUUCAGGGGCUUUAUAAGGCUGAUGAGCGUUUUGGACCAGGAAUUGAAACUUACCCAGAUGAUAGGCAAGAUGUUGGCCUGUGGCACCGAAACCAUAUUAUUAAACUAUGUACAGAAAUUCAUGAGCAUUUUACUAUUUCUGAUUUCCCAGAACUCAAUAUCUAUUUUGAUUCUGAGUCUAAAGAACAGUAUAUUUCAGAGGAAAGCACUUCUAUGUGGGACCUGAAUGAAGAAAAGGAUCCAUUUUUCUACAGAUUCAAACGUCUUCUGCUAAAUGAUGACAACUAUACGUUGCCUGCUAAUAUGUAUAUAUAUUCAAUUGAUGCAGAUAAUCUUCCUCUUACUCAAUCCUUCUUGAAAGAGUUUGAUUUUCAAUAUUUUAAGAAAAGAAAACAUACCGCUUCUGAAAAACCAUGGCAUGUAACCAACACAACUGCUAUUCUGGUCAAGAUGCAGAAAAACAUAUAUAAGUAUAGGCAUUGUCAGAAUGAAAUAGAUGGGGAUGUUAAUGCCAUUAUCAAAGGCAACCGAUAUGGUUUUGCACCCAAAGGUCCCAAAGAGCUUAUUGCUGAAGAACUGAUUGAGAAAUCAGCAGAAGGAGACUAUAAAAGAGUGUAUGAGAUUCUGAGAGACAAUCUAGCCCAUCCAGAUAUAGCAGAUAUGAGUGGAUAUACUGCUCUUGCUGCUGCUGCUUUAAAUUAUCAAGAAGACAUCAUCAACCUUCUUCUAGAUUGUGGAGCUGAUGUGAAUAAAUGCAGUGAUGAAGGAUUAUCAACUUUAUCCAUGUGUGUUAUUCACUAUUUCCCCGCAGAAGGAUUUCAUCCCAAUAUUGCUGAAAGGAAUAUCUUUAUAAAAGAGUUAGAAGACGUCCUUGAAGAAACGUCUAAAGAAUCUAUACAGUCAGAGAUAUCUCAGUUAUCUGAAGCGAGUACAAAUGCUACCACCCCAGUAUCAGUUGAAGCAUUGUCAUUCUCAGCUGAAAAGACAGAAUUUGUCCCCGAUGUUGAAAUUAAGUCAUCAGAUGAAACAGAUAAUGGAGAAAAGGGCUCUGGGACAAUUUGUGGUAUUUACAACUACAAAAUUAAGAUUUCUCCAGAAACUAUGCAUCAUGGUGCAGUUGUUCUUAGCCAGCAUAUGUUACAGACUCACAGUUACCCAGACACUGGGGACUCUAUUCAUCAGGAAGGCACCUUAAGGAAAAUGGCAGCAUCAUUAACAGAGCAAAAAAAGAGAAUGUCUAUAAUUAAAGUGCUCCUAAGAAGAGGUGCUGAUCCAAAUAUUUCCAACAUCCCAAUGCAUGUACUGUUCUUUGCUGUUAAAGCCGCUGAUGCAGAGGCUGUGCGUAUACUUCUAGAAGCUGGAGCACGGACUGACAUACGACUUCCAACCAGACUUCGGGGUGUGGCUCCUCUUCAUAUUGCUGCUGCCCUUCCUUGUGUAGAAGGGAUUGUAAUCACAGAAUUGCUACUUCAUGCUGCUGCAGAUCCUGAUGUAAGGGCAGAAGAUGAGAAAGAUAAAUUCCGGUUAGAUAAGAUUCCAACCAAGUUUGAUAUUAGUGAAUCAGUAUCUUUCAUGAAAAUGAAUAAUGAAACCGGACCACCCAAACAUUACUACAAAGAAUGUACUAUUGUCCCAGAGGAAGGUGGGAGGACACCUCUUCAUAUUGCCUGUGAGAGGGAAGACAAUCUUACGAAUGCUGGCAAAGUUAUUCAUCAUCUGUUAAAUCACAAUGCAAAUCCAAAUGUUCUGUGGAGUGGCCAUUCCCCUCUUUCACUAGCAAUUGCCAGUGGAAAUGAACAGGCAGUUGCUGAACUUCUGGCUGGUGGAGCUGAUCCAAAUCUACCUUUAAGCCAAAGUCUUGCAAGUGCCCUGUGUGCUGUUAUUAAUCCUGCAUAUGAGCAGAAUGGGACAUUAGCAACUAAGAUAGCACUGAUUGAUUCUCUCAUAGCAGCAGGUGCAGAGAUGUUGAUGCCAAUUACUCUUAUUGAUGAGUGUAGAACUGCAGUGGGGACAGUUGUGGACUAUGCAUAUUUCAAAUAUUAUCAGGAUAAAAGACUGUUGCAUACUCCCCUCCAUUCUCUGUCACCAGUAGAGAGGGAUACUUAUGCAUUUCGACGAAAGAUGCUGGAUUUUCUCAGUGACCGGCUUCGUGGGUGUGUCAUUGAAAAGGAAAAACAGUGGGAUGAAGAAGAACUUAGGAAAAUCAAAAUUGCUUCUGUAGGCGUAAGAAAGAAAUCUAUGGGUAUCGCUUUAGGACAGUUACCAGAAACAGAUUCAUCAAAAUUGCUCUUCUUUAAAUACUGCUACCAGUGUGGGCGAUCUGUUGGUGUGACCCUUACACCUUGUCCACAUUGUUUUGAGAUCUUCACUUGCAGCAAGUCCUGCAAAGUCAAGGCUUGGAAUGACCGGCAUAAGCGAGAGUGUUUACAAACAGAACAAGGUAGAGAGAACAAGAAAAAUAAUUUGCAAACUGUUACUUUCCUGACCACUUUAAUGUACAAACAUAUAAGAUCAAAGUUGCAGGAAAAACUGAACUCUUGAAAUAUAAAGCAGGAUUCAUUGAACACCUGGAUUUGAAAGACGGCAAAAGAUUGUUAGGAGAAUGAUUUUAAAAGGCAAGAGAAGUCUUCAUUCAAAUGAAGAAACAAUGAGAGAGCCAUGUAAGAAGAAUCUUAUUAAUAUAUGGACUGUGUGUAAGCUCAGUGCCAAGUACCAAAGUGCCAAGUCUGUACAUGAAUAUAUAUUUUUUAUUUUGACAAUCGUGUGUUUUCUUGAAGGGGUUUCUAGAUUAAAAUUUAGAAUUUGAUCUCGAAACCUACAGUACUUUGUGUAUUUCUCAAAAUGAUAUGGGUUAAGGAAGAUUUUUUAAAAAAGAUUCCAUGAAGAAUAUGGCAUCAAAAUCUCAUUUGGAUGGAGAAAUUAAAGCAAAGCAUUUUCAAGCUUUCAGAAACUGAAAUAAGGAAAUUUCAUGUCUACUUAUAAAAUGGAUAUUGGAAAGCAAAGGAUUAGUUCCACAGUGAUCAAUCAGGUAUGACUGGGAAGCACUUGAGCAGGACAUGAAUAUAAUACUGUAGUCUUCCUCCCAAGUUUUUCACCCUCUGGAUUUCAUCUUCUUCAUUCCGUGAAAGAGGAAUAAAGCCAGCAAAAAAUGUGUAGCCCCUUUCUGGAGCCAACCAAAUUACUAGCCUUCACAACAUCUUGUAAUGAAUUGUGCUAUGUGAGGCAUUUCCUUGUUGCUUCUUCAAAUCAACAAAAUUCAGCUUCAAGCUUCAUUGGAUGUUCCAUGUUUUAGUAUGAAUAAAAAAAUGUAGCAGCUAACUCUAAACUCCAAAUUUGGUUUCAACACAAAGCCUGUUCCAAAAAUUUGUAUCUGUUUUGUUCUACUUUGUUCAACCAACCCCACGUUUUAUGUCCCUCAUGGCCAGAAGAUACCAACAUUUUAGAUUGGAGUUUAGAAGAAAACUUUACCAAAGCAGUGUUGCUUCAUUUAUUCAAAAUCUAUGUUAAAGUUUGUACCAUUAUUGUAUUAUUUUUGCCUCUGAAAUAUAGUUUGCCUAUUACUACACAAUGUGGCUCACUGACUUCUCUUCAAGCUAUAGAGCAACCUAUUAAUAAUGUAAUGAUGUUGACCACAAUUAUGGCCAACAUUUUGUAUCAGUUUUAGACCAUUUUGUUCUACCAAAGCAAGUUUGUGUAUCUCUAUAGCUAAAGGGAUUCAAAUUGAGUAAAUACCCAAAAAAAUGUGGCAUUCAUUCAUAUUUCUAUCAGUUUUGUACUUGUUUUCUCCCAUUUUGUCACAUCAAGCCUAAAUUUUGUAUCAUCUCACAACGUGGGAAACUGAUAUGUCCCCUAAAGGGAGUUACAGAGCAUCCCUCUGUAUUGGGUUUUUUUCAACUAGAUCUUCAUUCCUCCAUUUCCCCCUCCCAGUUGCUAAGAAGUGGCUAAUGAACAUAAGUGUGCUAUUUACAAUAUUAAUGAAGUUUCCAUACUCUAUGGAAGGAAGUUGUUUAAUACUGAGGUUAAUGUUAAAUUUUCCAGAUUGUGAUAAAAUCUAUUUGCUUACAAAAAUAUUGGAUCAAGCUGGCAUCAGACAGUCUGAAAAUCAAAUAAGAGUUUGGUUAUCAUCCUAGUUCUUAUCAGAAGAAAGUCAGAUGAAAGCAGUUAAUACAAAAGAUUGAGAAGAUUGAGAUUAUACAGCUUUCUUCAGAAGCAUUUACUAUAAUUACUUUGUCUUUCAGUAUUACACCUCCUUCAGUGCUGAUAAUUUCACUAUACAGAAUUCUGGAACUAAUAGUCUGAUCAAUCAAUAUUGUCAUGCUGAGGCAUGUAUUUGAACUCAUUUUUUUUUACAGUGGUUCAUCUUUUUCACCAUGUUUGGUACAGUGAGAUCUCCAUAGUUCAGAUCAGCUAAGGCUUGGAAGCUGUAUUAUCUGGUGCUUCUUCAGAAUGGCAAUAAGGACAUAAAUCUCAUCAUAUGAAUGCCUGAACGAUUUUAGUGGAAUAUGAUUCAAAUAAUUUAAAUUACUAAAAAGUAAAUAUUUUAAGACUGUAGAUGUUAAUGUACAAUAUAGAAUUUUCAGUUAUCUGUGAUGUAGUAACCUGAAAACCUGGACACAUGAACACUGAUAGCAGUACAUAUCUAUAUUGUCUUCAUGUUUAUGUACAAAAAUAGAUUUCCCACAAGAGGACAAUAUUAAAAAAAACAUGAGGUGACAUCCUAGAGAACACUGAAAAAUUGAGAUGGCAGUUAUAGCAGCAUGAAUAAAGCUCUACUAUGCUGUUGUAUAUAUACUCUCAACUGAGGAUGCUACUGGCUUGAGUCAGUUACUGGUUUAUAGAAAUAUUUACUUCCAAGGAAUAGUCUGUCUCUUUAAGACUAUCCUUACAUCUAUUUUAUUUUAACUUUUGCUUUUGAAUAAUAUAAUUGGAAUUAAGAAGUUUUAAGACAAUAAAUUGUUCAUGUGCAUGUGGAUUAAGGUAACUGCAGAAAAUGUUUUAAUGUAUAAACAAAUCUAAUGUCUAAGAUAAUAUUUACUGUGUUAUGUAUUUUGAAAAUAUUGCCCUGUACUUUAGGAAUGUAUUUAAGAGAAUCAGAAUUUUUUGUAGCUUUUAAUUUAAUAAAAAAUAAAUCACAUUGGAUUUUAAUAUACCACAGAAAUACAGGUUCUUUGAGGCAUACAUAACCUUAUUUUAUACUAUUGAGCAUUCUGAAAUGUCUUUCCAACUUAUUUUAUUGAUGCAAAAGAGAGUACAUCUCCACCUAAGUCUGAAGAAGAAGUCCCACCUGUUAGGGAGGUGCGACAACGUAAAGCCAGCAUUAAAACAAAAGUGACUCUUCAAUCUGUAAAAUCAAAGGACACUAAAGCAAAGAAACAGAUAGUAGCCAAGC